CUUCUGUCCAUUCCUAUCUAGAGGUUCCUCUACAUGGGAAAAAUGGGGCAAAAGUGCAACAUUUCUGCAACCCCUUUGCACCCGCCAUAAACGCACGAGAACUCCUACAAGGCUGAGCCGCGACGAGGAGGGCGGAGAGUUUGAGGGAACGCCUAGACCAGAGAGUUGAUGCCUUUCCUAGAAAAUCACCGGAAAUGAUAAUUGGCGGACUAGGAAGUGGAGCUUCUAUAUAGUUCUGUUUCUCUUUUCUUGGGGAGAGUAUCUGCGGGAAGCACCCAUUCAUAUAUUCAUUCAGUCAGCUAAUUUUGAAUCCAGCACAUACUAUUGCAAGCGCUGUUUUAGGCGUUGAGAAUACAACAGUGAACAAGACGACAAAAAUUCCUGCGCUCACGGAGCCUAAAAGCCUACAUUUUAGCGAGGGUAGAACGACCAUAAACAGUGUAUAUAUUAAUAAGUCACUUAUGCACCAUAUUGGAAAGUGAUAAAGCGCUAUAGAGAAAAAGAAGAAUUCACGUAAAGCAAGGUAAGGCACAUCAGGAUUGGAAGGAGGGGAUAAGUUGCAAUCUUAAAUAAGGCACUUAGUUAACGUAGACCUCCUUGGGAAGAUGACAUAUAAGAAAACACUUGAAGGAGGCAAGAUUAUUAGCCGUGGAGAUCGCUUGAGGUGAAGGGAGCAGCCAAUGGAAAGGCCCUAAGAUGGAAGGAAGGAAGGUCGGUGUGGCUGAAGAAGAUUGAGGGAGUGGGAGAAGAGUAAAAGGUGUUGAGAAUCACACAUCCCGUAGACUUGUGUGCCACUCUUAAAACUUCAGCUUUUAUUUUGAGUGAGCAGGAGAGGAAGUUAGAAGUAGUGGGCACAUUCAGUAGGGCCUUGCAUACCUCUGUAAGGACUUCAGCUUUUAUUCUAAGUAAGGUUGAGCCACUGGAGAGUUUUCAGCAGAAAGAUGAAAUGAUCCAACUCAAGUUGUAAACGGACCACUCAAACUGCUCUAUUAAGAAAGACAGGAGGAAGGCAAGGAUUGAAGAAAGGAGACCAGUUAGAAGGCUACCACAGUAAUGGAAAGGAGGGGAGAUAGCAGGUGACGAUGGCUCAGAAAAAGGUGGUAGCAAUAGAGAUUGUAUUCUAGAUAUGUUCACAUUUUCAGUUUGUCUUCCUGCCUUAGGUUCUCAGUGACUCCCUGUUUUUUUCUGUGGUCACAUUCCUCUUUUCCCUUCACCAAAUAUGCAAGGAAACAAGAAGUGAGAUCA
rnacentral:lncRNA from 1 species